GGGGGGGGGGGGGGGGGGGGGGGGGGGGGGGGGGGCGGGGGAGCGGGGGAGGGGGUGGGUGGUGGGGCGUGAGGGGCGGGGGGGGGAGGAACACGUGGGUGACCUGGCUGUAAGACGGGGGUAACUGCUGGAGAGCGUGGCUAAUGGCGGGUGAUGUAGUGAGCCGCAUGGUGCAAUAGUGACAGUCGGUUUUGCUGUCACUUAUCGAUGGAUCAGCGCCGCAUUAGCUAGUUGGUAAGUUAACUGCUUACCAAGGCAACGAGGCGUAGCAGACCUGAGAGGGUGAUCGGCCAAAAGGGAACGGAGACACGGUCCAGACUACUACGGGAGGCAGCAGUAUGGAAUAUGCCGCAAUGGGAGAAAGCCUGACGGAGCAACGACGCGUGAGUGAUGAAGGUCUUCGGAUCGUAAAACUCUGUUAUUAGGGAAGAACAAAUGUGUAAGUAACUAUGCACGUCUUGACGGUACCUAAUCAGAAAGCCACGGCUAACGACGUG
rnacentral:rRNA from 1 species